UACGUAGGCAGCAAGCGUUGUUCGGAGUUACUGGGCGUAAAGGGUGCGUAGGCGGCUUUUUAAGUUUGGUGUGAAAUCUCCCGGCUCAACUGGGAGGGUGCGCCGAAUACUGAGAGGCUAGAGUGCGGGAGAGGAAAGUGGAAUUCCUGGUGUAGCGGUGAAAUGCGUAGAUAUCAGGAGGAACACCGGUGGUGUAUACGGCUUUCUGGACCGUAACUGACGCUGAGGCACGAAAGCGUGGGUAGCAAACAGG
rnacentral:rRNA from 1 species